GAUGAACGCUGGCGGCGUGCCUAAUACAUGCAAGUCGAGCGAACAGACGAGGAGCUUGCUCCUCUGACGUUAGCGGCGGACGGGUGAGUAACACGUGGAUAACCUACCUAUAAGACUGGGAUAACUUCGGGAAACCGGAGCUAAUACCGGAUAAUAUAUUGAACCGCAUGGUUCAAUAGUGAAAUACGGUUUUGCUGUCACUUAUAGAUGGAUCCGCGCCGCAUUAGCUAGUUGGUAAGGUAACGGCUUACCAAGGCAACGAUGCGUAGCCGACCUGAGAGGGUGAUCGGCCACACUGGAACUGAGACACGGCCCAGACUCCUACGGGAGGCAGCAGUAGGGAAUCUUCCGCAAUGGGCGAAAGCCUGACGGAGCAACGCCGCGUGAGUGAUGAAGGUCUUCGGAUCGUAAAACUCUGUUAUUAGGGAAGAACAAAUGUGUAAGUAACUAUGCACGUCUUGACGGUACCUAAUCAGAAAGCCACGGCUAACUACGUG
rnacentral:rRNA from 1 species